AGUCAGGAGUGAAAGGCUACGGCUCAACCGUAGUAAGCUCUUGAAACUGGGAGACUUGAGUGCAGAAGAGGAGAGUGGAAUUCCAUGUGUAGCGGUGAAAUGCGUAGAUAUUUGGAGGAACACCGGUGGCGAAAGCGGCUCUCUGGUCUGUAACUGACGCUGAGGCUCGAAAGCGUGGGGAGCAAACAGGAUUAGAUACCCUGGUAGUCCACGCUGUAAACGAUGAGUACUAGGUGUCGGGGGUUACCCCC
rnacentral:rRNA from 1 species